AGCGGCGGACGGGUGAGUAAUGCUUAGGAAUUUGCCCAGUCGAGGGGGACAACAGUUGGAAACGACUGCUAAUACCGCAUACGCCCUACGGGGGAAAGCAGGGGCUCUUCGGACCUUGCGCGAUUGGAUAAGCCUAAGUGAGAUUAGCUAGUUGGUGAGGUAAUGGCUCACCAAGGCGACGAUCUCUAGCUGGUUUGAGAGGAUGAUCAGCCACACUGGGACUGAGACACGGCCCAGACUCCUACGGGAGGCAGCAGUGGGGAAUAUUGCACAAUGGGCGAAAGCCUGAUGCAGCCAUGCCGCGUGUGUGAAGAAGGCCUUCGGGUUGUAAAGCACUUUCAGCGAGGAGGAAAGGUUGACGGUUAAUACCCGUCAGCUGUGACGUUACUCGCAGAAGAAGCACCGGCUAACUCCGUGCCAGCAGCCGCGGUAAUACGGAGGGUGCGAGCGUUAAUCGGAAUUACUGGGCGUAAAGCGCAUGCAGGCGGCCAAGUCAGUCAGAUGUGAAAGCCCCGGGCUUAACCUGGGAAUUGCAUUUGAUACUGCUUGG
rnacentral:rRNA from 1 species